ACGGGUUUCUCUGCGGAGGGUUGAAACCCCAUGCUUCCCAGGGCUUCCGUUGAACGCAGAGUUUGCAUUUGGAAGUCUGAGAGGGAGGGACGGUGCUGAACUGACCUCGAAUCUCCCUUAGACUGGCCACACCAGUCACGUGGUCUCCACGUUCCGUGUCACCCCAGCUCCUGCCUCUUCCUCCCCUCCCGCGUCCUGGUGAGGCCUCGCUCAGUCCCUCCUCACUUUUUAUCCUUCCUCCAGCUGCGAUCCAGUGGCCCUUUUCUGGGUGAUCAGGCUUGCUCAUCCUCCCGGACUCCUCGGGUCUGAGAGGAAUCUUCUCAAAACGCAGCACGAGCAGGGUCCACGGCAGCUCAGAAAUUCCCUGCCCUCAGCUGGCAUUUCCCUGACUUCUUGAAGACUCAUCUUUCUACAUCUUGCUUUCCCCUCCCUGUCAUCUCAAGUACCCUACGAUGAAACCAAAGCCACGGCUGAGUGCUGUGGCUCCCGAGAGGGUAAACAAUUUUUUUUUUUAAUGCUAGAAUGUUUAAAAGCAAAACAUUUUGAAUUUGAAAACAGCAUAGAGAUAACCGCAACCUAUAAAUCAAGGAAUUGGUGGGGCUCCAAAAAUGCUCAAGCCAAAUUCUUUCUGUUCUCCCCCCUUUCAGCCCUGUUAUCUGUUUGCAUGCCCUCUUGGGCUUUGUGCGGGGGUUUCAUUCUACUGGUUUUGUGCACACAGAACAGACCUCCAGGUCUUGGCAGCCCUCAGGAAGCAGGACCUGGAAAGCAAUUAUGGCCAAGAAUCCCUUCCUUUCAGGAACUCGUGGUGUUCUGUUCAUAUGCCCUAGGGGUUUAUGCAGCAUUGCGGCGCUUGAAGGCUCAUCUCUCUGCGCACAGAGAUGGGCGUUGCAGAAAAGGAAAAAGAAAAAUCACAUGA
rnacentral:lncRNA from 1 species